rnacentral:rRNA from 1 species
ACGCUCGACACCUACGGAGGCAGCAGUGGGGAAUAUUGCACAAUGGGGGAAACCCUGAUGCAGCGACGCCGCGUGAGCGAAGAAGUAUUUCGGUAUGUAAAGCUCUAUCAGCAGGGAAGAAACUGACGGUACCUGACUAAGAAGCACCGGCUAAAUACGUGCCAACAGCCGCCGGUAAUCUGAGCGGGCGUGGCGAAGGC